CCUACGGGAGGCUGCAGUGAGGAAUAUUGGUCAAUGGGCGCGAGCCUGAACCAGCCAAGUAGCGUGAAGGAUGACUGUCCUACGGAUUGUAAACUUCUUUUGUCAAGGGAUAAAGUGAGGCUCGUGUGCCUGUUUGUGUGUACUUUAUGAAUAAGGAUCGGCUAACUCCGUGCCAGCAGCCGCGGUAAUACGGAGGAUCCGAGCGUUAUCCGGAUUUAUUGGGUUUAAAGGGAGCGUAGAUGGGUUGGUAAGUCAGUUGUGAAAGUUCGCGGCUCAACCGCAAAAGUGCAAUUGAUACUGGCAGUCUUGAGAAGAGUUGAGGUAGGCGGAAUUCGCGGUGUAGCGGUGAAAUGCUUAGAUAUUGCGAAGAACUCCGAUUGCGAAGGCAGCUUACU
rnacentral:rRNA from 1 species